rnacentral:rRNA from 1 species
CAGAGGUCCCGAGCGUUGUUCGGAUUCAUUGGGCGUAAAGGGUGCGUAGGCGGUCUUCUAAGUUUGAUGUGAAAUUCCGGGGCUCAACCCUGGCAUGGCAUUGAAUACUGGAGGACUAGAGUACCGGAGAGGAAACUGGAAUUUACGGUGUAGCAGUGAAAUGCGUAGAGAUCGUAAGGAAGACCAGUGGCGAAGGCGAGUUUCUGGACGGUAACUGACGCUGAGGCACGAAGGCCAGGGGAGCAAACGGGAUUAGAUACCCCGGUAGUCCUGGCAGUAAACGGUGCAUGUUUGGUGUGGGAGGAAUCGACCCCUUCCGUGCCGGAGCUAACGCGUUAAACAUGCCGCCUGGGGAGUACGGUCGCAAGAUUA